rnacentral:misc_RNA from 1 species
UCCAGGGGUGUUAGCAAUAUCAUAGAGAGAGAGACUGGAGACGAGAGGAUUGAGCUUCAUGAGCAGAGCCAGUGGCUGACCGAUCCCACCGGCAGCGCCGAGAACCGCGACCUUCCGGUCGGGAACGGCUUCAGAGCCGUAGCCACGGCGGAGGAGGGUAGAAGAAGAGUUCCUCAGGGUUUUAAUAGAUCUGAAUAGCGAACUCAUUUUGAAAUUUCGCCGAUGACGGAGAGCAAGCGAGAGAAAUCAGGAAAGGGUUUG